UGUUAAUCCACUCAUUAUAGCGAAUAUAAUGAAGUAUAACUAAAUUAAUUUAUAAAAAACAACUGAACGAUGCUCAUUUACCAUGAAAGAAAGUGUAGCAUACAUUAAUACAAAUGUAGAAUAUGGUUAGAAAUUUUAAAACAACACUAAAGAUGAUAGGCUCAGUAUGUAAAGUAUCUACCAAAAACUCAAUAUUUUCGUAAGGGGUCGGUCAACACAUAGAUUUUGACAAUUUUUUUUUAAAAUAUGAUAAUAUUGUUUUAAUGCAUAAUUGCAUUAUGUACUAAUAUACGAUGAUGGUCAAAAAGGUUUGGAACAUUUUUUGUCUCCAUUUAUCUAGAUAAUAGCGAUUUUAUAAUGGUUAUUCCCCUAAUUUAGGGAGUAUAUGAAGUUUUACUAAAUUAAAUUAUAAAACAAUUGAACUUUGCUCAUUUACCAUGAAAAAAAGUUUAGCAUACAUUAAUACAAAUGUAGACUAUGGUUAAAAUUUUAAAACAACACAAAAGAUUAUAGGCUUCAGUAUAUAAAACAUUUACCAAAACAUCAAUAUUUUCGUUGGUGAUAACACAUGAAUUUUGAGAAUUUUUUAAAAAUACGACAAUAUUGUUUUAAUGCAUAGUUGCAUUCUG